GUGAGAGGGAAAAGUCGACGGGAAAGGCUGACUGACGGGAGGCGACAACCGGAAGGCAGCCCGUGGCAGGAAGUAGCGUGGAGCAGGAGGCAGGGGGAUUUAAGCCUAGUUCGUUGGCUUCCUCAAUUCACAAUGUCCCUCGUCUUUAAUACAGGUGCAGUGUGGAACUAUGCAAGACCAACAUCUUCAACUUCCAAGAUAGCCACCCAAAACAACAAUUGGAUAUUAAGAGGCUUAUUUGAAUUCAAAUAGAAAAGAAUAUUUCAUAUUGCUGUGUAUGGAAGGCAUUCCUCGCUCCCUGGCUCACGUUUUGUGAUCUUGGAUUUUGCUUAGUAUCUUUGCUAAAAAAAACCUCUGGACCAGAGUUGCCACAAGGUGCAGUAACCGAAGAAACCAAUGGAAUGUCAGAAGAGCUUAGAAGAACUCAGAAACCAAGAAAAAGCCAGGAGCCACUAUUGCCUUCACUUACUAUUGUUUCUCUUGCUGUCUGCCACCCAUGAGGUGGUUAAUGAAAGUCUGUUUUGCAAAAGCUGGCAGUUCUCUGCGGUUGCUAGGAUACAUUGCCCUGCUCUCAAGGAAGGAUCAGCUAAUUAAAGAUUGUUCUGAUGAUGAAAUGUUUCUAUAUUCGUGUUCCAUUGGUCAACGGCACUGUCACUCAAGUUUUCAGCUGGGGAAUAUCUGGGUGGAAUUCUGUAAUUUACUGAAUGCGUCUGCUGUGUAUUGCUUGUGUUAGUAGUUUUUUCAUCCUUAUAUCCCAGUUCUAAUAAACAUGGCUAUCUAGAAGCAAGUCCUGCUGGGAUUCAAGAAAGGUAAUUUAGGAUUUCAGCCUGAAAGGCAGAUUGAAAAUUUGUAGUGUUCAACCUGUAGACGCAAUAGAUAUUUGGAAGCAGUUUAUACAUUUUUAUAAGUCACAUUUUGCAUGUGUCCCUAAAAAGGCUCUUGCAGGCAUAGAGCUCUACUAAGUACAUCUUGAAAAUCAGCCUUAAUUUUAAUUUUUAAAAACCCACCGAAACAAGUUUCUAGCCUUCAUGCUUACUUACUGGAAGGUAAAACACAAUCCACAUGGCUUUUUCUUUUUAGGCAGCAAUCCUGUAUUCAGU